rnacentral:lncRNA from 1 species
CGCGGUUUCAGCGCGCGCCCGCGGGCUGCCCAGCGCAAGCGCAUUUUCUUGAAGGACCAAGUUGGGAUCCGCUGUUUAUCCGAGCCCCGGCACUGCUUCCUGUGUUGUUCUUCCUCUUGAGGAAAGAGGGGGGUGCUAAAGAUCUCCCCGCACACCCUUGCGCUCGCCGGCCACCGCAGCAGGUGUCCCCAGGGUUGCUGAUGGCUCCCUUGCACUCGCCCUUCCUGAAGAGCAGUUUGGCAGCCAAGGCACCUGGAGUUAUCGGAAUGUCCUGGAUGGCUGGCCAGGCGGCUUUCCCCCGCGAAGAAAGUAUCUGUAUGCUGUCCAUUUGGAGCUGUCCACGGGGCCCCUGGUUCCCUCUAUGACCCACCUUGACCAUUUUAUCAAGAUUGUGUGAUUGGCAGUUGUAAGGCAUACCCAGAAGGCAGAAAGUAAAAAACUACCAGGUAAUUUUUUUAUGAGCAUUUCUUUCACCUUCAUCAAAGCUUUGAGAAGGCAAAUACAAAUGUACAUGUAUUGCUAUCCAAAGUCAUUUGCAUAUUUUCCUAAUCCAG